UACGUAGGGUGCAAGCGUUGUCCGGAAUUACUGGGCGUAAAGGGCGCGUAGGCGGUCAGCACAAGUCAGUUGUGAAAUCUCCGAGCUUAACUCGGAAAGGUCAACUGAUACUGUGCGACUAGAGUGCGGAAGGGGCAACUGGAAUUCUUGGUGUAGCGGUGAAAUGCGUAGAUAUCAAGAGGAACACCAGUGGCGAAGGCGGGUCUCUGGGCCGAUACUGACACUGAGGAGCGAAAGCGUGGGGAGCGAACAGG
rnacentral:rRNA from 1 species